GAUUUCGCGUAACACAAAUCCACAUCUAAAGCACUCUGAGCGCUCUCGCGUCGUGGCUCUCUCUCUCUAGAAGCAGCCUCGCCGCCCUUUCUCUCUCCUCUCUCAUCGCUUUGCCGCCACGUUUUUCGAUUCGCCGAUCAAUCAACUCGUCGACUUCAUCAUCGAGAGGGCGAGAAAGUGAGAAAGUUCUUUAAUUUUCUGCUGUUUCUAUUUUCGUCUCCGUUUCGAAUCUAGGGUUUCAUUCUCGAUCUCAGAUUGCCUCUGCGGAAACCGAAGAUCGAGGUAUGAUUUUCUAGUAUUCGUCGGUUUUGAGUUUUGUGGUCUAUUCAGAUCUGUGAUUGUUUGGAUUUUAAGGUUUCGUGUUGGUUCCUUUGAAUUUGGGGAAAUUGUUGUGUUGGUUUUGUGAUUUCUAGGGUUAGGGUUUUGAAGGGAGGGGAUUUUUCGGGGGGGACUUUGAUUGGGGGAUUAGGGUUUUCUCUGGUGUUUUGCAUUAAUGGCGGCAGGAAGGCACGGGGGUUAUCGUGAUAAUGAAUUUAAGGAGCGGGAGUCUGAUUUAGAUGUGUCAAGGCGGAAUUUUGCUUAUUCUAAGGACGAGUAUGAUCGGAGUAGGAACGGUAACCGUGAGGGUCGGAUUAGGGAUUCGAGAGAGAGGAAUAGGGUUAGACAGAAGGAUAUUAAGGAGAGGGAAUCAAUAAAUGGUGGAUACCGGUCUUCUUCUAGUAGAAGUGAUUCUGGAAGUAGUGGUGGUGGUGGUGGUGUGCCUAGACGAUGUGUUUUUUCGGUUAGGACUGCUGACCGUGAGCCUGGUGAGUUGUCAAGUGAGAGUGGAUCGGAUGAUGGCAUCGAGUCGGAGUCGCAGGCUAAUAAUGAGUUUUCAAAGGUGGAGAAUGGGAUUCGGUCGCCUUUGGAUAGGAAGAGGAAGUUUUCACCUAUUGUGUGGGAUAGAGAAGAUAAAGAAUCGAAUAAUUCUUCCAAAAGUAGAAUUGCCUCAACAGCAACUGCCCUUCCUCCUCCCCCUCCACUGCCUAAGACAUACCGCCAGUCACCAAAACUUAUUCAAGAUGAGGGUAUGCGGGUUUCUCCGGCCAAAAAUAGCAAGAUUCAGCGUUCACAACUGCCACCAUCACCAAGCCUCCCUCCGGUGGCACCUUUGUCAGUUACCCUUGAUGUGUCUAGUUCUCCCAUUGAGUUGAACACUUCUUCACCUCAAGAGCAGCGGUGGAGUAAUGAAAAAGAAGCAGACCAAAUUGAAGAUGAAGAUUAUGUUCCCACUCGGAACAUAUCAUCAUCACGAUGGGCAGAUGAAGCCAAUUCCCCAGUUGAUGAGGGUGAAAUUUUGGAUGAUGAGGAAAUUCCUAAGAGGAGGAAGAAAAUGUUUCUUUCUGAGGGCUUGGAGCCCAGGGUACUCAAGAAAUCUGUGAGUCCUGAGCUUGGGGAGCUUAAGAGGGAAGGUUCUGAAGGAGCAAGGGCAAAGUCAACUGACUCUGAUGAAAGAGGCAACCGUGGUAGGUCAGGUACUAGGGAAGAUUACCCAGAUAAUAACUCAGACAGGAAUGACUAUAUGGAAAUUGAGGACUAUCAUAACAAUGAUGCUAGUGCGAGGCAGUCAGAUACAGAUUCUGAGCAUGAAAAUGUUUCUCGGGAGACUCCAGAACCUGCACUCCCACCACAAAGAAGUGUAAAUAUGCUUCAAGGAUGUAGAAGUGUUGACGAGUUUGAGAGAUUAAAUAAGAUAGAUGAAGGCACUUAUGGUGUUGUGUACAGAGCUAAAGAUAAGAAGACGGGAGAAAUCGUAGCCUUGAAGAAGGUGAAGAUGGAGAAAGAAAGAGAAGGUUUUCCUUUGACUUCACUGAGGGAAAUAAACAUACUUCUUUCCUUUCAUCACCCUUCAAUUGUUGAUGUUAAAGAAGUCGUGGUAGGGAGCAAUCUUGACAGUAUAUUUAUGGUUAUGGAAUACAUGGAGCAUGAUCUUAAGGGGCUGAUGGAGACAAUGAAGCAGCCAUUUAGUCAGAGUGAAGUUAAAUGCUUAAUGCUCCAGUUAUUGGAGGGGAUUAAGUAUCUCCAUGAUAACUGGGUUCUUCAUCGGGAUUUGAAGACAUCAAAUCUACUUUUGAAUAAUAGGGGUGAGUUGAAGAUUUGUGAUUUUGGAUUGGCUCGGCAAUACGGGAGCCCUUUGAAACCAUAUACUCAUUUGGUGGUUACUCUAUGGUACAGGGCGCCAGAACUUUUGUUGGGAGCAAAGCAAUACUCAACAGCAAUUGACAUGUGGUCGUUAGGUUGCAUAAUGGCUGAACUGUUAUCAAAGGAACCACUGUUCAAUGGGAAAACUGAACUUGAUCAGAUUGACAAGAUUUUUAGAACCCUUGGCACACCAAGUGAGACAAUUUGGCCUGGGUUUUCCAAAUUGCCUGGAGUCAAGGUUAACUUCGUCAAGCAUCAGUAUAACCUACUGCGUAAGAAAUUUCCUGCCACAUCUUUCACUGGAUCUCCGGUUCUCUCUGACUCUGGAUUUGACUUGUUGAACAAACUUUUAACUUAUGACCCUGAGAAGAGGAUUACAGCUGAAGCUGCUCUUAACCAUGAUUGGUUCCGCGAAGUUCCUCUUCCCAAAUCUAAAGAUUUCAUGCCUACUUUUCCUGCUCAGCAUGCCCAGGACAGGCGCGUGCGAAGAAUAAUGAAGAGUCCAGAUCCUUUAGAAGAGCAGCGUAGAAAGGAGUUGCAGCAAGGGGAAUUAGGAGCUGGUGGUUUGUUUGGCUAAGAGAAACUAGUGGGUGUGCAGUUGCCCCUUCAUGCUUGAGUUUUUCUCAGUACUCAUAAGUGAAAAUGUUAGAGGCAUCCCUGAUGAUUUGGGUGGAGAAAUGCAUUUUUUUCCUCCUCCCACAAAACCAGAUCCGCAGGUUAACUUUGUUCCCCAGACUUGGUCAUCAAAUAGAAAUGCAUCUGUGGCAACUGCUUGCAUCACAAGAGACGGUUGGUGUAAAGCGGAGGGGAGUUCUUUGCUUUUCAUUUGACGAAGAAAUUGACAGUAACCGUAGUACUUCGAAGUAUCAAAGCAAAAGCUAGUUGAGGAAAUUUUCUGUUGUUCAGGAAUUGCUUUGUAACUUCAGGCUCAAUUGAGGAAUAUGGCUGGAAGAAUGUGUUGCUUUGCAAAUGAAAAUUGUUAUGAAGCACCUGCAUGAUCCGGUUUAUUUAACUAUAACAUGUAGAGGGAAUUCAGGAAGAAGAAAAAAUACGAGAGAUAAAUUGCACAAGCUUUUUAUCAAAAGAGUAGUUAUGCAGGCACUCUCUGACUUGACCAGAGGCCUUCUUCCUUUGUGGGUAUGCGGUAGACAAAUCUUGGAAGCUGAGCUUUUGACAUGGAUUUUAUAGCUGGAGAGGAGGGAGGCUGUUGAUUCUGUUGCUCAGUUCAGGUUUUACGGAGCCAAUCUGCCCCAUGUUGCCUUGUGCUCCGUGACAUCCAGUGAACUCGCGUGCUGCUUGUUUUUCCAGUGUCUUUCUGUUUGUUUGUUUGGGUUUUUAUUUAUUUAUUUAUUUGAUGAUUUGAUGAUAUUGGGGGCCAUCAGGUGGGAAUACAAUCAGAUUGCCAGCCUCUCCAGCCUCUCAAGCCAUCCAAAUUCAAUUCAGACUUUUGGGAAGGUAGCAAGCGUGAGAUUAAAAUUGCCUAGUUAUUUUAUUUAGGGUUGAAGGGCCAAAAUUGUACAUGCAUACUAAUGUUGGACGUUCCUGGUUCUUAACAAAAACAUCACUUGUACAUAUUAAGUCGGGGCAUUUGUGGUACUUGCUGUUAUCCGCGUCCAAGCAGGACAGCAGCUAACUGGGAGGCGAGGCUCACAUAUUAACUCGUUAAAAUAAAAAAUGCGGAGAGGUGAAGGCGGUGCCUUUUGUUCACUUGGAAA